AGCAGUAUCAUAUUUAUUUUAUUAAAUUUCAAAGAGCAGUGGGUAUUCUUAAAUAACUCAUGACUAUAGUAGAGGUAGAGUGUUUUAGAGUGUUGAAUUGUGUUUAAUUGCUUCGCAGUAGUAUUAUUCUACCUACUUCUAUAAUAAUUUAACUUUUAAAGUAUAGUAUAUAUCAUAUAUACAUUACACGUAUAAAUAUUAAGAGUAUGAUAAAAAUCUAUAUAAACUUAAUAAACUUUUAACUUUUGCCGUUUUAAAAUUGCUUUAUUAUUCAAGUACAGGGUGAGAAUUCACAAGUACUAAGACAGCAACAAGAGAA